rnacentral:lncRNA from 1 species
UUAUGUCAUAAAGUUUGCUAUCUCUUGGUUAGAUCUUUACUCCCUAGCUUUUACUUCAUGCUUUAGGAUAGUCUCUUCUUCUUCGCUCCUUCUUUAAUUUUCAAAUCUUCUCUUCUUUUUUUUUUUUAAAACCUUCUUGUUUUUAAACUUGAACCAAUUUCCCAAUAAAUCUUGACUUUUGUCAAGUGAUUUUCAAAACAUUUUUU